ACACUGUGACAAUGUGAAAGGGGUUGCUCGUAGUGAUGAACCUACAGAGAAUUAUCACUUAAAGCUGCAGCUCCUCUCAGCUUUACAGAGCUUUAUAGUGAGUUUCAACUCAUUGCUUAGUUGUCUGACCCACAACUUUACUGUUUGGGUUCACUCUCAUCACUCUUGUAGCGGCCUUU